AGCGAACGCUGGCGGCAGGCCUAACACAUGCAAGUCGAACGAACCUUUCGGGGUUAGUGGCGGACGGGUGAGUAACACGUGGGAACGUGCCUUUAGGUUCGGAAUAACUCAGGGAAACUUGUGCUAAUACCGAAUGUGCCCUUCGGGGGAAAGAUUUAUCGCCUUUAGAGCGGCCCGCGUCUGAUUAGCUAGUUGGUUGAGGUAAUGGCUCACCAAGGCGACGAUCAGUAGCUGGUCUGAGAGGAUGAUCAGCCACAUUGGGACUGAGACACGGCCCAAACUCCUACGGGAGGCAGCAGUGGGGAAUCUUGCGCAAUGGGCGAAAGCCUGACGCAGCCAUGCCGCGUGAAUGAUGAAGGUCUUAGGAUUGUAAAAUUCUUUCACCGGGGACGAUAAUGACGGUACCCGGUGAAGAAGCCCCGGCUAACUUCGUG
rnacentral:rRNA from 1 species